rnacentral:rRNA from 1 species
UACGGGGGGAGCAAGCGUUGUUCGGAUUUACUGGGCGUAAAGGGCGCGUAGGCGGCCAGCACAAGUCAGUUGUGAAAUCUCCGAGCUUAACUCGGAAAGGUCAACUGAUACUGUGCGGCUAGAGUGCGGAAGGGGCAACUGGAAUUCUUGGUGUAGCGGUGAAAUGCGUAGAUAUCAAGAGGAACACCUGCGGCGAAGGCGGGUUGCUGGGCUGACACUGACGCUGAGACGCGAAAGCGUGGGGAGCAAACAGG